rnacentral:rRNA from 1 species
AGCGAACGCUGGCGGCAGGCCUAACACAUGCAAGUCGAACGGAUCCUUCGGGAUUAGUGGCGGACGGGUGAGUAACACGUGGGAACGUGCCCUUUGGUUCGGAACAACUCGGGGAAACUUGAGCUAAUACCGGAUGUGCCCUUCGGGGGAAAGAUUUAUCGCCAUUGGAGCGGCCCGCGUCUGAUUAGCUAGGUGGUGAGGUAAAGGCUCACCAAGGCGACGAUCAGUAGCUGGUCUGAGAGGAUGAUCAGCCACAUUGGGACUGAGACACGGCCCAAACUCCUACGGGAGGCAGCAGUGGGGAAUCUUGCGCAAUGGGCGAAAGCCUGACGCAGCCAUGCCGCGUGAAUGAUGAAGGUCUUAGGAUUGUAAAAUUCUUUCACCGGGGACGAUAAUGACGGUACCCGGAGAAGAAGCCCCGGCUAACUUCGUGCCAGCAGCCGCGGUAACAC